AUUGAACGCUAGCGGGAUGCUUUACACAUGCAAGUCGAACGAGUGGCGGACGGGUGAGUAAUAUCUCGGAACGUGCCCAGUGGCGGGGGAUAACUACUCGAAAGAGUGGCUAAUACCGCAUACCAUCGGAGCGGCCCAUAUCGGAUUAGCUAGUUGGUGGGGUAAAGGCUCACCAAGGCAACGAUCCGUAGCUGGUUUGAGAGGACGACCAGCCACACUGGGAAUGAGACACGGCCCAGACUCCUACGGGAGGCAGCAGUGGGGAAUUUUGGACAAUGGGGGAAACCCUGAUGCAGCCAUCCCGCGUGUAUGAGAAGGCCUUCGGGUUGUAAAGUACUUUUGGCAGGGAAGCGGUAUCUGCAGAAUAAGCACCGGCUAACUACGUGCCAGCAGCCGCGGUAAUAC
rnacentral:rRNA from 1 species